rnacentral:rRNA from 1 species
UACGUAGGGGGCAAGCGUUUGUCCGGAAUUAUUGGGCGUAAAGCGCGCGCAGGCGGUCGACAUAGUCGGGUGGUUAAGCUCGGGGCUCAACCCCGAGUCACACCGGAAACUGGUGGACUUGAGUGCAGAAGAGGAGAGUGGAAUUCCACGUGUAGCGGUGAAAUGCGUAGAGAUGUGGAGGAACACCAGUGGCGAAGGCGGCAUCCUGGACCGGCAUUGACGCUGAGGCGCGAAAGCCAGGGGAGCAAACGGG